GGGGCAGCCCCACCACACGGGUCAAGGCCGGGAGCCUCUUCUGCAGGCCCUGGAGCUGGUGACCGGGGAGCAAGGGCCCUGCGAGCCUGGCCUCUGCUGAGGGCCGGGACUCACCUCCUUGUCUGUGAGCCGGAAGUCGUUCGGAUACACCAGCUGCAGAGGAAGACAGAGUGCUUGGUGACACCAUCUGUCCGAGGAGGCGACACCCCUCGACAGCAUCUGCUGGACUGUGACCGUCCCAGCAGCUGCAGCAUCUGUCUGUGGGGCGCAGGUCAGUGCCCAAGGUGCUGGCUCGCCCCCUGCUCCCUGUUCCAACAGCACGCUGCAUCCUCCCCACACCAUAUUCUCUGUGUUCCAACAGCAUGCUGCAUCCUCCCCACACCACCUUCUCUGGCUGUGAUGUCUGGCUCCUUGCUGACCCGCUCCUAUCUCUGACCUCCAGGCACCAGGCCCCGGGCAACUCCCCUGCCGGCCAGAGGCUUCUCUACUCCCACCUCCCCAGGCCCCUCUCAGUAAGAGGCCAGCACAAUUGGGGCCUGUGCCCCACCUGUAGCGCCCAGCCGGACAAGGCCUGCACCCCCAGGAGUGGACAGUGGAGGAGAGCAUGAUGCUAAGCAGGCGCUGAAUGACUUGGAAGACAGGUGUGCGCUGACAGAGGCGGCAGGUGGGGCAGAGUAAGUCUCUCUAAGGACCCUGUCCUGGUUACUUCUGCCUCCCAGCACCUGGCACAGAACAGACCCUCCCCAAAUACAGUGUUCGUGGAAUGUGUGAAGAGGUCUCUGAGGUUUACUAGAACAGGUGGGUGGAGGGGAGCUAAACAGGCACCAAGGAGUGGUCAGGAGGAGGACGAGGGUGGAAGCUGGGAGUAGGCUGGACCCACAGGGGUGCCUCAGGAUAGCUCCAUGAGGGGCUGGAGAUAUAGGGCCACUCAGCCUGAGCCUUCAUGUGUCUGCACUGAGGAGAACUGAGAAAAGGCGGGUACCUUCUGCCUGGGGUCAGGACUCUGCACCUGGUCUGCCAGUCACAGGAGCCUGUGGCCUCUGAGCUCCGUGCCCAUGCCCAGGGGGCCCUCAGCAUGUCUGACCAGGGAAAGCCACAUUCUCAGGCUCAUCCUUUUUGAGAGUGUCCCUGGGGCCCAGGUACAGCCUGAAGUUGAGUACAAAGCCAGGGGUCAGGCCACCCAGGGUUGGCCACGCCAAGGUUAAGGGGACAAAUGGAGCUGAUCUUCAGGGCAAGGAGGCCUCCCAGGUCAGGCUGUGCCCUGCUCGGGGUUCCAUGAGGGUCUUGCCUGAGCCCUGCACAGGUCCCUGCUCCUGGUCACCAGUCACCCGGAGGAAGACUGGGGGUGGGAGCUUGGUUUGGAGAAGGCACAUGCAGGGAGCGGUUCCCAAGGUAUGGCCGGGCCACCCUGGGAUCCCGGGGGUCACAGCCCUUCUCCUGUGUGAGAGCCUCCUCUCUCAUCUUCACCCUCAGGUACAGCAUGGCUCCCAGAAGCCGCGGUGUGUCCUGUCCUAGAGGGCUGAAUGCAGUGCUGAUGAGAAUCCAGCUGUUUUCCAUUUGGUCGGACUUUUUAUUUUUUAUUUAUUUAUUUUUUGAGACGGGGUCUUGCUCUGUCACCAGGCUGGAGUGCA
rnacentral:lncRNA from 1 species